CUCUUAGAAAUUGUAGCAAUGAUGAAAACCAACGUUUUUAAUUUGUGUUUCUUUUGUGCAUUGUUUCUUUUAUCUGUUGUGAUAACUGAGACAUCCAAAGAUGAUAAACAAUAUACAAAUAGUUAUCAUGUUAUGCAAAAGACUUAAAGAAAAAUGUUCUGUUAGAUAAGCUUGAUGGUAGCCGAAGACCAAGUGACAUAGAACCUUAUGAUCCAAAUAAGCCUAAGGAUCCAAAGAUUCACUUAAAAACUAGAUGCAUAAUUUAUAUCUCAUGCUUAUGCAUUAUUAGUUGUAAAAAAAAUGUAUAAAAUAAAGCAUACACGAUAAUCAUUGGGUGAUUGGGUGAAUGAAUAAUAAUAAUUUUUUUUUA